rnacentral:rRNA from 1 species
UACAGAGGUCUCAAGCGUUGUUCGGAUUCAUUGGGCGUAAAGGGUGUGUAGGUGGCGCCGUAAGUCGGGUGUGAAAUUUCGGAGCUUAACUCCGAAACUGCAUUCGAUACUGCGGUGCUUGAGGACUGGAGAGGAGACUGGAAUUCAUGGUGUAGCAGUGAAAUGCGUAGAGAUCAUGAGGAAGACCAGUGGCGAAGGCGGGUUGCUGGGCCGACACUGACGCUGAUGCGCGAAAGCUAGGGGAGCGAACGGG